CCCUGCGUGACUGGCGACUCUAGGCUUCGGGGCCUAGGUGGGUUUACCACAAGGAAGCGCAGGGUUUCGGCGGUUAGGUUCGUCCCGUCCGGGGCGUGGCCGCGCCGCCCGCCGUUCGCCUGGGCAGCCG
rnacentral:ncRNA from 1 species